GAUGAACGCUAGCUACAGGCUUAACACAUGCAAGUCGAGGGGUAACGAGAGGAAAGCUUGCUUUCCUUGUCGACGACCGGCGCACGGGUGAGUAACGCGUAUCGAACCUGCCCCCAACUAGGGAAUAACCUUGCGAAAGUAAGACUAAUACCCUAUAAUUUCCUCAGAUGUCAUCUGACGAGGAAUAAAGAUUUAUCGGUUGUGGAUGGGGAUGCGUCUGAUUAGCUUGUUGGCGGGGUAACGGCCCACCAAGGCAACGAUCAGUAGGGGUUCUGAGAGGAAGGUCCCCCACAUUGGAACUGAGACACGAUCCAAACUCCUACGGGAGGCAGCAGUGAGGAAUAUUGGUCAAUGGGCGGAAGCCUGAACCAGCCAAGUAGCGUGCAGGAUGACGGCCCUAUGGGUUGUAAACUGCUUUUAUACAGGAAUAAAGUUAGCCACGUGUGGUUAUUUGUAGGUACUGUAUGAAUAAGGACCGGCUAAUUCCGUGCCAGCAGCCGCGGUAA
rnacentral:rRNA from 1 species